CCUACGGGAGGCAGCAGUGAGGAAUAUUGGUCAAUGGCCGUAAGGCUGAACCAGCCAAGUCGCGUGAAGGAAGAAGGAUCUAUGGUUUUUAAACUUCUUUUAUAGGGACAUAAAGAUAUCCACGUCUGGAUAUUUGCAUGUACCCUAUGACUAAGCAGCGGCUAACUCCGUGCCAGCAGCCGCGGUAAUACGGAGGAUGCCAGCGUGAUCCGGAUUUAUUGGGUUUAAGGGUGGCGUAGGUUGUUUUUUAAGUCAGUGGUGAAAGUUUGUGGCUCAACCAUAAAAUUGCCGCUGAAACGGGAAGACGUGAGUGUGGUUGAGGUAGGCGGAAUGCGUGGUGUAGCGGUGAAAUGCAUAGAUAUCACGCAGAACUCCGAUUGCGAAGGCAGCUUACUAAGCAAUAACUGACACUGAGGCACGAAGGCGAGGGGAGCGAAAGGGAUUAGAUACCCCUGUAGUC
rnacentral:rRNA from 1 species